rnacentral:rRNA from 1 species
AACGAACGCUGGCGGCGUGCCUAACACAUGCAAGUCGUGCGAGAAAGUUCCUUCGGGAGCGAGUAAAGCGGCGCACGGGUGAGUAACACGUAGGUAACCUGCCCCCCAGUCUGGAACAACUAGAGGAAACUCUAGCUAAUGCCGGAUGAGACCACGAUCCCUUCGGGGGUUGCGGCCAAAGAUGGCCUCUACUUGUAAGCUAUCGCUGAGGGAUGGGCCUGCGGCCAUUAGCUUGUUGGUGAGGUAACGGCUCACCAAGGCUGUGAUGGCUAGCUGGUCUGAGAGGAUGACCAGCCACACUGGGACUGAGACACGGCCCAGACUCCUACGGGAGGCAGCAGUGGGAAUAUUGCGCAAUGGGCGAAAGCCUGACGCAGCGACGCCGCGUGGGUGAUGAAGGCCU